UAGUGCCAUUUAUGGUGAUGGAGGUUUAGAGAGCCGUGAUAACCUAGUGGUAAAGAUGUACGCCUUCUAUUUAGGAGCUCUGGGUUCGAAUAUCGAUCCUAGAAUACCUAACUCAUCACUAGCAUGAAACACACUGUUCAACGACUCUGGUAUUCAAUUUUUCUUAUGGAUACCUAUAGUCAAAUACCUGGAAAGUGUUAUACUUAUAAUACACUUUUUAUUCCGGGAAAUCAAAAAGUUCCCGCGGGAAUUUCAAAAAUCGAAAUCCGGUGGAUGAAAUCGCAGAUAUAAAGUAUUUUUUUUUUAAUUUGUAGACUGCAAUCAGACCUAGUAGCAAGUGAUGAUGCAGCCUAAGAUGGAACGCGCUUGCCUAGAAGAUGUCUAUUUACUCUUGGCUUGAAGUUAACCCAUAUUAUAACUGGAGGGGAAAACUGGUGCUGAACGGGUGU